rnacentral:misc_RNA from 1 species
GAAACGCGAUAGUUAAUGUGAAUUGCAGAAUUCAGUGAAUCAUCGAGUCUUUGAACGCACAUUGCGCCCAUAGGUAUUCCUUUGGGCAUGUCUGUUUGAGCGUCAUUACAACCCUCAGCUAACCGCUGGUUUUGAACCUGAACGGGUGACACCGCGCCGGUUUUAAAGUUGUAAGCUCUGCUGGCCGCUCUGCCCAACCAGAACAUAGUAAGCACUACUUGUCCGGGUGAAGCUGAACGGUACGGCCUGAACAAAACCUACCCACUCUCAAGGUUUGACCUCAGAUCAGACAAGGAUACCCGCUGACCUUAAGC